UAGGGAAUCUUCGGCAAUGGACGGAAGUCUGACCGAGCAACGCCGCGUGAGUGAAGAAGGUUUUCGGAUCGUAAAGCUCCGUUGUAAGAGAAGAACGAGUGUGAGAGUGGAAAGUUCACACUGUGACGGUAUCUUACCAGAAAGGGACGGCUAACUACGUGCCAGCAGCCGCGGUAAUACGUAGGUCCCGAGCGUUGUCCGGAUUUAUUGGGCGUAAAGCGAGCGCAGGCGGUUAGAUAAGUCUGAAGUUAAAGGCUGUGGCUUAACCAUAGUACGCUUUGGAAACUGUUUAACUUGAGUGCAAGAGGGGAGAGUGGAAUUCCAUGUGUAGCGGUGAAAUGCGUAGAUAUAUGGAGGAACACCGGUGGCGAAAGCGGCUCUCUGGCUUGUAACUGACGCUGAGGCUCGAAAGCGUGGGGAGCAAACAGGAUUAGAUACCCUGGUAGUCCACGCCGUAACGAUGAGUGCUAGGUGUUAGACCCUUUCCGGGGUUUAGUGCCGCAGCUAACGCAUUAAGCACUCCNGCCUGGGGAGUACGACCGCAAGGUU
rnacentral:rRNA from 1 species